rnacentral:rRNA from 1 species
CCGAAGCCAGUCGCAGAUACCAGCUGGCUGCAACUGUUUAAUAAAAACACAGCACUGUGCAAACACGAAAGUGGACGUAUACGGUGUGACGCCUGCCCGGUGCUGGAAGGUUAAUUGAUGGGGUCAGCCGCAAGGCGAAGCUCUUGAUCGAAGCCCCAGUAAACGGCGGCCGUAACUAUAACGGUCCUAAGGUAGCGAAAUUCCUUGUCGGGUAAGUUCCGACCUGCACGAAUGGCGUAAUGAUGGCCAGGCUGUCUCCACCCGAGACUCAGUGAAAUUGAACUCGCUGUGAAGAUGCAGUGUACCCGCGGCAAGACGGAAAGACCCCGUGAACCUUUACUAUAGCUUGACACUGAACAUUGAGCCUUGAUGUGUAGGAUAGGUGGGAGGCAUUGAAGUGUGGACGCCAGUCUGCAUGGAGCCAACCUUGAAAUACCACCCUUUAAUGU